rnacentral:tRNA from 1 species
GGUGGUGUAAUGGGUCAGUGCACCUGGCUGUUAACCAGAAGGUUGGUGGUUCGAGCCCAGCCAGGGACA